rnacentral:rRNA from 1 species
UACGGAGGGGCGAGCGUUGUCCGAAGUUACUGGGCGUAAAGCGCGCGUAGGCGGGGAGCCAAGUCCGCUGUGAAAGCCUGAGGCUUAACCUCAGCGGGUCGGUGGAUACUGGUUCUACUUGAAGGCGUUAGGGGGAGAUGGAAUUACCGGUGUAGCGGUGAAAUGCGUAGAUAUCGGUAGGAACACCCGUGGCGAAGGCGGUCUCCUGGGACGUUCUUGACGCUGAGGCGCGAAAGCUGGGGGAGCGAACGGGG